CGGCGAGUGAAGCGGCAACAGCUCAAAUUUGAAAGCUAGCCUUCGGGUUCGCAUUGUAAUUUGUAGAGGAUGAUUUGGGGAAGCCGCCUGUCUAAGUUCCUUGGAACAGGACGUCAUAGAGGGUGAGAAUCCCGUAUGUGACAGGAAAUGGCACCCUAUGUAAAUCUCCUUCGACGAGUCGAGUUGUUUGGGAAUGCAGCUCUAAAUGGGAGGUAAAUUUCUUCUAAAGCUAAAUAUUGGCGAGAGACCGAUAGCGCACAAGUAGAGUGAUCGAAAGAUGAAAAGCACUUUGGAAAGAGAGUUAAAAAGCACGUGAAAUUGUUGAAAGGGAAGCGCUUGCAAUCAGACUUGUUUAAACUGUUCGGCCGGUCUUCUGACCGGUUUACUCAGUUUGGACAGGCCAGCAUCAGUUUCGGCGGCCGGAUAAAGGCUCUGGGAAUGUGGCCUCCACUUCGGUGGAGGUGUUAUAGCCCAGGGUGUAAUACGGCCAGCCGGGACUGAGGUCCGCGCUUCGGCUAGGAUGCUGGCGUAAUGGUUGUAAGCGACCCGUCUUGAA
rnacentral:sRNA from 1 species